rnacentral:tRNA from 10 species
ACACCGAGAAGACAUCCAUGCAAGUUGGAUCGUCCUGA